CAAGAUGCUAUAGCUAGCAGGCUCUAGUCAAGAUGCUAUAGCUAGCAGGCUCUAGUCAAGAUGCUAUAGCUAGCAGGCUCUAGUCAAGAUGCUAUUGCUAGCAGGCUCUAGUCAAGAUGCUAUUGCUAGCAGGCUCAAGUCAAGAUGCUAUAGCUAGCAGGCUCAAGUCAAGAUGCUAUAGCUAGCAGGCUCUAGUCACAAUGUUGUUAUAGGUAGCAGGCUCUAGUCACGAUGCUAUAGCUAGCAGGCUCUAGUCACGAUGCUACAGGCAGCAGGCUCCAGUCACGAUGUUAUAGGGAGCAGGCUCUAGUCAAGAUGCUAUACACUACUGUUCAAAAGUUUAAUGGAAUAUCUACAUAGGCGUACAGAGCCCCAUUAUCAGCAACUAUCAUGCCUGUGUUCCAAUGGCACGUUUUGUUAACUAAUUCAGGUUUAAAAUUUUAAAAAGUCUAAUUGAUCAUUAGCCUUUUGCAAUUAUGUUAGCACAGCUGAAAACUGUUGUCCUGAUUAAAGAAGCAUCUGCACUUGUGGGUUCGAUUACAGGCUCAAAAUGGCCAGAAACAAAGGACUUUCUUCUGAAACUCGUCAGUCUAUUCUUGUUCUGAGAAAUGAAGCAAUGGCUCUUCAUGAAGGCCAUGCGAGAAAUUGCCAAGAAACUGAAGCUCUCGUACAACGCUGUUUACUACUCCCUUCACAGAACAGUGCAAACUGGCGCUUACCAGAAUAGGAGUGGGAGGCCCCGGUGCACAAGUGAGCAAGGGGACAAGUACAUUAGAGUGUCUAGUUUGAGAAACAGAUGCCGCACACGUCCUCAACUGGCAGCUUCAUUAAAUAGUACCCUCAAAACACCAGUCUCAACAUCAACAGUGAAGAGGCGACUCCAGGAUGCUGGCCUUCUAGGCAGAGUUACAAAGAAAAAGCCAUCUCUCAAACUGGCCAAUAAAAAGAAAAGAUUAAGAUUGGGAAAAUAACAGACACUGGACAGAGGAAGAUUUGAAAAAAGUGUUAUGGACAGACUAAUCUAAGUUUGAGGUGUUCGGAUCACAAAGAACAUUCAUGAAACGCAGAAAAAAUGAAAAGACGCUGGAGGAGUGAUGACGCCAUCUGUCAAGCAUGGUGGAGGCAAUGUGAUGUUCGGUGGUGUUUUGGUGGUGGUAAAGUGGGAGAUUUGUACAGGGUAAAAGGGAUCUUGAAGAAGGAAGGCUAUCAUUCCAUUUUGCAUUUUGUAUGUCAUACCCCGUGGACAGCACUUAAUUGGAGCCAAUUUCCUCCUACAACAGGACAAUGACCCAAAGCACAGCUCCAAACUAUGCAAGAACUAUUUAGGGAAGAAGCAGACAGCUGGUAUUCUUUCUAUAAUGGUAUGGCCAGCACAGUCACCAGAUCUCAACCCUAUUGAGCUGUUGUGGGAGCAGCUUGACCGUAUGGUACGUAAGAAGUGCCCAUCAAGCCAAUCCAAUUUGUGGGAGGUGCUUCAGGAAGCAUGGGGUGAAAUCUCUUCAGAUUACCUCAACAAAUUGAUAACUACAUUGACAAAGGUCUGCAAGGCUGUAAUUGCUGCAAAUGGAGGAUUCUUUGACAAAAGCAAAAGGACACUAUUUUUUCAAUUAAAAUAAUUAUUAAUUUGGCAACUAAUUUCAGUUAAGUUUUCAUGGAAAACAAGGCCAUUUCUAAGUGACCACAAACUUUUGAACAGUAGUGUAGCUAGCAGGCUCUAGUCACAAUGUUGUAGCUAGCAGGCUCUAGUCACAAUGUUGUAGCUAGCAGGCUCUAGUCACUAUAUUGUAGCUAGCACAAUGUUGCUAGGCUCAAUGUUGUAGCUACCAGGCUCUAGUCUCAAUAUUGUAGCUAGCCGGCUCUAGUCACAAUAUUGUAGCUAGCAGGCUCUAGUCACAAUAUUGUAGCUAGCAGGCUCUAGUCACAAUGCUAUAGCUAGCAGGCUCUAGGCACAAUUUUAUAGGUAGCAGGCUCUAGUAAAGAUUCUCUACCAGGCUCUAGCAUGGAACAAGCCUCAUCUCAGCUGGUGGAGUGAUACACACAACACAAGCCUUUUAUUGUGACAGACAGGCAGCCAGGUCCCCAGCACCGCGGUAACAGUAGAUCUCUGUUCCGGCCAGACUACUUGAUUACACCAACACAGUUCCACUUAACAGGCAGAGAGGAGCACAGAACAAGAGAGGAGCUACAUCAUAUGAAAUGGCACAGAUUAUCAAGGAAGAAAAGCCCUUAUUAUUAUUAUGAUGACACAAGUAAAGGGAAUGAAUAGCACUGGACAGAGGCUUAAUAAAGUCAUGUUUAUCAACAUGUUGAUAAGUGUCUCUCCUAAAUUCACUUGUUCACACACUUGGACUGCUCUUCCAUGCGGGUUCUCUCAGUGUACAGACAGACAGUAGCUGUAAUGUGGUGUGUGUGUGUGUGAGGGAGAAGUUAGCAAGCUGUUCUGUAUGUAACAGAUGGAGUUUCUAUUCAUCCAGAAGGAGCCAGUGUCCUACAGACCGUCUUCCCCUUUCUCCCUGAAGCAGGAUCCCAGUCCACAGAUCCCAGUUCACAGAUCCCAGUCUACAGAUCCCAGUCCACAGAUCCCAGUCCACAGAUCCCAGUUCACAGAUCCCAGAUCCCAGUCUACAGAUCACAGAUCCCAGUCUACAGAUCCCAGUAGACAGA
ensembl:lncRNA